CACACACACACACACACACACACACUAUAGCAUACGCAGGCGCACGAUGAAUCUGGUUGCCUUUGUUCAUCGAAACAGUUACCCUGACCAAUCAGCACGAAUUUAACAUCGUAUACCUAUAGGUUUCUUGGGCACUAUGCGCGCAAAGCCAUGGAUGCGUUCUUGUGCGCGCACGGAUUUCUCCACACCUCAUUCCCCACAGUGCAACAGCUUCUUCCUCCAUGCCACAAAUCGGUCUCGCUCUGCGAUUACAUCAAAGAAGGAAAGAAGCCAACAAACAGCGAGACAAAAGACUAAAAGUACGCCCCACACACAUACCCACACGGGCGCAUGCUCGCGCUCCCUGCCUCUCGUCAUGUCUGGUCUGGUUUCAUUCCAAAGAAGACAAAAAAAGUAAAGUCGGGCACAUCAUCUGUUUGUCAACAGCUACACAACAGACCAUACGGACCAUACACACUCACACACACAUGUUGCCAUCAGCACAUCACACCUUCGCAGGACAACUGAGAUACAUUAGUCUUUUUUUAGUCUUAGUAGGUAUCACCCAGAGGAUAAGGUGUAAGUGUGUGUGUGUGUGUGUGUGUGUGUGUGUGGGUGUGUGUGGUGCGUGUGUGUGUUUGUGCAUGUUUGGUACUGUCGUCAACAUGACGCUAGAUGGCACCAGAGCGUUAUGUGGGAGCGUGCAGGGGCAACUGGGCGGCUCACUGGUGAGCACAGCAGACCGAACUGCAGCACUGUCCCGGCUGGGUCAGUGUGACCACCGCUCCGCAGCUUCUGGAGCUGCACGGUGUGCUAUGUUCCUCAUUCCUGAACCUGGUUUCCUUCACAGGUCAAAGACAAAAGCAGUCCCUGAUACAACAUACAUAAUGAAUAAAGAUAUUACAAUAUGUAUAUCACACAUUGUUUUAUCUUUAGGUUGUAUCGACAUUUGUAUUUUAAAUUCCUAUAGACUCAUUAUUUGGUGCCAAAUAGGCCUAUGUCAUAUAUUUGCCAUGAAAUGUGACACAUAGCCUUCAUAGUCUGCUGGUGAUGCAAGUUGGUAUUGAU
rnacentral:lncRNA from 1 species